GACAGCUCAACUCAUUUUGGGAUAGAUUUAGGGAUGAGAAAUUUGUUAUCAGAUAUAUGGAUAGUUGAUGUCCCUCAUUUGUACCUUGUCUUGCCUUCUUGCAAGGUUUGGGCUGCUAUGAAGAAGACGUAGCUCUAACUGCCUGGGUAACCUUUUCCUGGAAGGGUUUAUGCCUGGGGCUUUGAACUUCAUGCUAAAUCAAAGAAUCCUCUUGGGAGGAAGAAUGCAUCCUGGAAUUCACCAUGGAGACUUACUUCAGGAGCAAUGAUUGAAUCUCAACUUGGGGAGAGAGAGCAGGAGGAGUCUCUUAGAGAUUCCUGGGACGCAGGAGUGUGUGUAUUUGGGGAGUGGAGGACGUUUGAAAAACUGUAAUUCUUUACCUAAGAGAUUUUGAUCCCCUACUCAAUGGCUUUUAUCCAUCCAUCCACCAUCUAACCCUAUGAUUUUUAGGAAAAUUUCCUCUAUGACUUUUUGGACA